GGGUUGUGAGGUUAAGCGACUAAGCGUACACGGUGGAUGCCCUGGCAGUCAGAGGCGAUGAAGGGCGUGCUAAUCUGCGAUAAGCGCCGGUAAGGUGAUAUGAACCGUUAUAACCGGCGAUACCCGAAUGGGGAAACCCAGUGUGACUCGUCACACUAUCAUUAACUGAAUCCAUAGGUUAAUGAGGCGAACCGGGGGAACUGAAACAUCUAAGUACCCCGAGGAAAAGAAAUCAACCGAGAUUCCCCCAGUAGCGGCGAGCGAACGGGGAGGAGCCCAGAGCCUGAAUCAGCAUGUGUGUUAGUGGAAGCGUCUGGAAAGGCGCGCGAUACAGGGUGACAGCCCCGUACACAAAAGCGCAUGUGCUGUGAGCUCGAUGAGUAGGGCGGGACACGUGGUAUCCUGUCUGAAUAUGGGGGGACCAUCCUCCAAGGCUAAAUACUCCUGACUGACCGAUAGUGAACCAGUACCGUGAGGGAAAGGCGAAAAGAACCCCGGCGAGGGGAGUGAAAAAGAACCUGAAACCGUGUACGUACAAGCAGUGGGAGCACAGGUUUACCUGUGUGACUGCGUACCUUUUGUAUAAUGGGUCAGCGACUUAUAUUCUGUAGCAAGGUUAACCGUAUAGGGGAGCCGGAGGGAAACCGAGUCUUAACCGGGCGUUAAGUUGCAGGGUAUAGACCCGAAACCCGGUGAUCUAGCCAUGGGCAGGUUGAAGGUUGGGUAACACUAACUGGAGGACCGAACCGACUAAUGUUGAAAAAUUAGCGGAUGACCUGUGGCUGGGGGUGAAAGGCCAAUCAAACCGGGAGAUAGCUGGUUCUCCCCGAAAGCUAUUUAGGUAGCGCCUCGUGAAUUCAUCUCCGGGGGUAGAGCACUGUUUCGGCUAGGGGGCCAUCCCGGCUUACCAACCCGAUGCAAACUGCGAAUACCGGAGAAUGUUAUCACGGGAGACACACGGCGGGUGCUAACGUCCGUCGUGAAGAGGGAAACAACCCAGACCGCCAGCUAAGGUCCCAAAGUCAUGGUUAAGUGGGAAACGAUGUGGGAAGGCCCAGACAGCCAGGAUGUUGGCUUAGAAGCAGCCAUCAUUUAAAGAAAGCG
rnacentral:rRNA from 1 species